AUUGAACGCUGGCGGCAUGCCUUACACAUGCAAGUCGAACGGCAGCACGGGGGCAACCCUGGUGGCGAGUGGCGAACGGGUGAGUAAUACAUCGGAACGUGCCCAGUCGUGGGGGAUAACGUAGCGAAAGUUACGCUAAUACCGCAUACGAUCUCUGGAUGAAAGCGGGGGACCGCAAGGCCUCGCGCGAUUGGAGCGGCCGAUGGCAGAUUAGGUAGUUGGUGGGGUAAAAGUUUACCAAGCCUCCGAUCGGUAGCUGGUCUGAGAGGACGAUCAGCCAAACUGGGACUGAGACACGGCCCAGACUCCUACGGGAGGCAGCAGUGGGGAAUUUUGGACAAUGGGCGCAAGCCUGAUCCAGCAAUGCCGCGUGCAGGACGAAGGCCUUCGGGUUGUAAACUGCUUUUGUACGGAGCGAAACGGCUUCCACUAAUACUGGGGGCUAAUGACGGUACCGUAAGAAUAAGCACCGGCUAACUACGUGCCAGCCGCCGCGGUAA
rnacentral:rRNA from 1 species